GACGCUGGCGGCAGGCCUAACACAUGCAAGUCGAGCGGAAACGACACUAACAAUCCUUCGGGUGCGUUAAUGGGCGUCGAGCGGCGGACGGGUGAGUAAUGCCUAGGAAAUUGCCUUGAUGUGGGGGAUAACCAUUGGAAACGAUGGCUAAUACCGCAUGAUGCCUACGGGCCAAAGAGGGGGACCUUCGGGCCUCUCGCGUCAAGAUAUGCCUAGGUGGGAUUAGCUAGUUGGUGAGGUAAUGGCUCACCAAGGCGACGAUCCCUAGCUGGUCUGAGAGGAUGAUCAGCCACACUGGAACUGAGACACGGUCCAGACUCCUACGGGAGGCAGCAGUGGGGAAUAUUGCACAAUGGGCGCAAGCCUGAUGCAGCCAUGCCGCGUGUAUGAAGAAGGCCUUCGGGUUGUAAAGUACUUUCAGUUGUGAGGAAGGGGGUGUUGUUAAUAGCAACAUCUCUUGACGUUAGCAACAGAAGAAGCACCGGCUAACUCCGUGCCAGCAGCCGCGGUAAUACGGAGGGUGCGAGCGUUAAUCGGAAUUACUGGGCGUAAAGCGCAUGCAGGUGGUUCAUUAAGUCAGAUGUGAAAGCCCGGGGCUCAACCUCGGAACUGCAUUUGAAACUGGUGAACUAGAGUACUGUAGAGGGGGGUAGAAUUUCAGGUGUAGCGGUGAAAUGCGUAGAGAUCUGAAGGAAUACCAGUGGCGAAGGCGGCCCCCUGGACAGAUACUGACACUCAGAUGCGAAAGCGUGGGGAGCAAACAGGAUUAGAUACCCUGGUAGUCCACGCCGUAAACGAUGUCUACUUGGAGGUUGUGGCCUUGAGCCGUGGCUUUCGGAGCUAACGCGUUAAGUAGACCGCCUGGGGAGUACGGUCGCAAGAUUAAAACUCAAAUGAAUUGACGGGGGCCCGCACAAGCGGUGGAGCAUGUGGUUUAAUUCGAUGCAACGCGAAGAACCUUACCUACUCUUGACAUCCAGAGAAUCCAGCGGAGACGCAGGAGUGCCUUCGGGAGCUCUGAGACAGGUGCUGCAUGGCUGUCGUCAGCUCGUGUUGUGAAAUGUUGGGUUAAGUCCCGCAACGAGCGCAACCCUUAUCCUUGUUUGCCAGCGAGUCAUGUCGGGAACUCCAGGGAGACUGCCGGUGAUAAACCGGAGGAAGGUGGGGACAACGUCAAGUCUCAUGGCCCUUACAGAAAGGGGUACA
rnacentral:rRNA from 1 species